AGGCCUGCGCGUCCGGAGCCUGUGCUCCGCAACGGGAGAGGUUACAUCAGUGAGAGGCUCACGUACCGCAAAAAAAACAAAAACAAAAACAGAGAUCACUGAAAAGCCAAAGGGCCUCUAGGAUGUCACACCUCAUGAUGUACAGAGGGCGCAGUGCACUCUACAGAAUUGGGCUUGAAAAGUAAAGAAGGCAGACAGAGUUUCCUCUCUUACUGGAAUCUUCUGGAAACCAUAGCCAUGGGGUAUUCCCGAAUGCCUCACAUCCUUUAAGCAAUGUUUAAUGGCCACCUGUUGCAUGAGGGCUCAUCAGGGGAAAGGACCAUUUCACGACAACCUAGGACCCUGGCCCUAAACUUCGGUGUCCAGGCUAGUGGGGCUGGGCCAUGUGGAGAGUUUGUUUUGCCAGGACAGGAGGUCUUGAGGGCCUGGAAUCCAAGAAUUUCCAGGAGGUCCUUCACCAUGUUCCUGCCAAGUCCGUGGCCACCACACCACAAAAUGGCAGAGCCCAGGUUCAUGUCCUCGAUAAGGAUCCCGUGCCUUUUUCAUUGUGCUGACUCUCUUUGCCAUGGUGGGGCUUUUUAUGGCCUGGUAGGGUAAGGGCCUCAGUGUUCUAGCCGCAGGUGAUGGAGAGACUGCCUGCCUUUGGUUCCUCGAAUCACUGACCUGGGAGCCCCAUCACGUGGGGCCCCAAGCAGAGGCCCCGGGUAGCCACCUCUGGGAUGUCCUAGCUUAGGUGCUGCUGAGAGUUUGUCAAUACUUGUAUCUCCUCUCUGCCUUAAUGAUCAAUGUGUCCAAAGUCACAAACUCAAACCACAGCACAUGGAAAUAAUACUUAUCCUAUGACUGCCAUAAAUGCACUCCAGUGUCUCAAAUGUAUUUCAUCGAUCAUUCUUUAAGGUACAAAAGACGUGUGUCAACAUAGAAACAGUCUCUAUUCUGGGGAAGAAACUCCAUGAAUGUGUGUACUAUUGACUCUCAGUCAAAGAUGCCAUUUUCCUCUUUGCGGGCCAUCGACGUUUUGCACCAAGCCCUCUCUUCUUAGAUAAUUGCACUUUACACUUUGGCAUCACGUUCUGAAGGCUUGAGGCUGAAGUUUCUACUGCCCUUCCACGAGGAGGACAGCCUGUGGUCCCCACAGUGAGAUCUGGUUCUUUCUGCUCAUUCGUGGCGUGACGUGGAGAGCAGGGAGCUGAUUUGCAGAAGGACCGCUUGGUAGACAGGCUAUUCCGGAUUCUGACGACAUGUUGGUGGAUUCAUGCAUGGGUACUCGAGCGCCCACCACAUCAUUUCUGAGCUCUGUCUACUGAGAGGAAGUCAUAUAAACCAGGAUUUCCAUCCACGGGAAGAGCUCAUACCUGAAGAAGUACUCAGCACAGGGUAAGGAGGAAAAUGUGCAAGCUCUACGAUCUGCUCAUUAUAAUUCUAAAUGGAACCAAAGGAAAUAUACAGAGAGGCCGGCAAAGAGUUAUUGUCAAGAAUAUUCACUGAGCGCGAUUUAUAUUGGGGAAAAACUGGGAAAGGCCAAAAGGCCCCCCAGAAGGGAUGGUUAAGUGAAUCAUAGGCUUGUUUUGUGUUAGGAUAUCAUAGAUAAAAGUGGGAAGUUAUAUUUUCACAUAAUGAUCCAUGAUGUGGGAAAAUGGACAAGAUGUAGAGUUAGGUGAAAAUAUUGCAAGUUAUGAAAUCGUACGUAGGGCAUCAGUUGUGAAACCAUAGAGUUGCCUUGGGGACUUUCGUGAAGCGGGGGCUGACUCUGCCUGCGUGCAGAGCUCCUGAUUCAGUAGGUCUGCGGUGGGAACCCAGAAUGUGCACUUCUGCCAAGUUCCAAGCUGAUGCUCUUGCCACUGGUCCAGGGGCUCCACUGAAUUAAACAAUUAUGUGUUUAGAGGGCUGACAAGGACAUCUUUGCUUAUGGGGCAGAGCUUGUCAACACUGGCUGGCGUUCGGACUCCAUGGGGGAACUUUUAAAAAAUGUCAGUGUCCGGUGGGCGCACGAAGUGGUCCAGCCACUGUCAAAAACAGUUGGGCGUUUCCUCGAUGAAAAAUGGAAUUAGCGCACGACCCUACAGUUCCUCCCCUAGUCACGUAUCCAGAAGAACUGAAAACAGGUGCUCAAACAGAUGUACACGAACAGGGCAACUCAGAGUCAGCAAAGGUGAAAACAGCCCGAUGUCUAUCAACAGUUUAAGAGAUCAGGAAAAUGUGGUCUGUGUGUCCAGUGGAACAGUACUCACUGUAAAGGGGUGACACAGGCUACAGCGUGGACAAACCGUGAGAAUAUUAGGCUAAGGGAAAGAAGCUAGACACAGAAGACCAUAUUGUGUAUCAUUCUCCUUACAGGAAAUGUUCAGAAUAGGCAAGUCCUUCGAGACAGAAAGCGGGUGCUAGCGGCUGAGGGCAGGGGGAAUGGAGAGGGACUGCUUAAUCUUACAGGAUUUCUCUGGGGUGAUGAAAAUGUUCAGAAACGUCUUAGUGGUGGUGGUUGUACUGCCUUGUGAAUGUACUGGAAGCUACUGGAUAGUACGUUCGAACGUGGUUAAUUGUAUGUUAUGUGAAUUUUAUCUCACUUUUAAAAGAAUAUCCAGGCAGCAGCGUAGAGCUUCUGAUUUCACAGUUCUGGGAUGAGCCUUCUUUGAAAGCUUCCCGGUUGAUGCCAAGGUGCAGCUGGGAUUGACUGAAAACCACUGGCCGGGUGGGGAUUCCAACAGCAGUAACUCAGGUAGCCUGGAAGGGGGUGAAUGGAGCUUCAGAAGAUGAAGGGGCAGCUUCAGCAGGUGGACUCUGUCCCUUUGCUACCCAAUGUCUGUAUCCCAGCAGUAUCCCCCCGCCUGGGAGCUUGUCAGAAAUGUAGACCCGCCGGCGCCUCCCCAGACCUCCUGAGUCACGGUCUGACUUCUGGCAAGAUCGCAUGGUUUACUACCCGCUGACGCUCCAGGAGCACGGGAGCGAUUGCACGGCCUCUCCAAUGGCGCGUUUCAUGCCAAGAGUUACGAUUCCUUCUCCCGAGACAUGGGGUUUCUAUCGUCCUAGGGGUUUUAGAAACGCUGCUUGUAAGAAAGUGGAUGAAAUUCAUAUCCUCGGGUAUCUCUGAGUCUUCGAGAACCUCACGCGUCUGACUACUCUCCGUGAGCGUUGCAUGGUUUGGUAUGUAUUCCUGUCCCAAACUAUUUGGAAAGUGGGACUCCUUUUGAGGACCACUUUCCGACGCUGACGGAUGCUCGUCCUUUUCUAUAAGGAUAAUGGCAGAAUUGCUGCUUCAGGACCAUUUUGAAUCUUUUGGACCUGCUCCAUCCAGUAGAACUUCAGAAACCACCUUGAAUGUUGUAGAACUCCCAGAGUGACCCUGUCUUUCAGUAUCCAAAGACACUGAGCGAGAAGCGGUAGAUAGAAAUGACCACAGACUUCACCGAAAUGUGCGGCUUUAAGACAAG